ACACUGCUUGGGUGCAGGAGGUGUUGGUGGGAGAAUACAGUUUCCUGCUCACCGGUGAUGAAGGGAGUGAUGGAAAAAAGGAUUUAGGUUGUUUUUUUUCCGGACUGUCGUGGAGAUUAUUUAAAAGUGAAGCUCUUAAUUUACUGGUUCAUCGACAGUCCCGCAAUCACCUAUGGACCAGAGAUCCAAAGCAGGACUAAAAAAGAGAAGAUCUCAAAUACCACCAGCUGAAACGCGUCUCCUCUAGAGGCUGGAAGGAGUCUGCCUUAGAGACAAGGAGAGGAGCUCAAUGAUCCAGUGGAAGCUCAGAGAGGAACUGCUAGCCUGCAGUAAAAGGAGUCAGUGGAUGUGUUAGCGGCAUGUGACACCACCCAUUGGAGGUGAUGGCUUCUUCUUUACUGAGUGGCCUUUCAGUCCUUGCACAUGGUUGAACUGAUGAAAGUGGCACCUUCAGGCAUCUGAAGAUUGCGUUGUGAAUUAAGCUUUCAAAGCCAUGGCAUCAUCACCAUCAUCUGGGCUUUUCCAAACUUUUUAAAGUGUGGAAACUACAGGUCAGCUUUACAUUAGAAUAACCGAGAGCUGAUCAGUGUUUUUCUGAGGGCACCUGAAUGUGAGCCUUUGCCCCGGUUGUCCAACAGGAAGCUAAAGCUCUGGUUACUAUUCAAGCAGGAAAGCGAUACCUCAGCGCUACACUCAAGAAAAACAACACCUCAUGUUAGGUAGCACCGUCCCGCAAACAAGUAAACAAGUUGGUUAGCAAGGAGCUGGCUUGUCUAGAACAUGGAACCAAAGGGUCUAUGCGUUGUGUAUUUAUUUGUUACAGGCAGCUCUCUAAGCAUCCAACAGCCAAGAAAAAGAGUGAAGUGGGUAUUAUUUAUGAGGCUGUAUGUAAAACCUGUUUUGAAACUGUGUGGAUUAGAGAAAACACAAGAAGUAAAAACCUCUGCAGCCAUUUCUUGUUUUUAAAAAUCUAUGACGUUUUAAGAAGUAAUGCCGGGUAUUACACCCUGGAAAGGACAGUUUAAAAACAUUUUUAAAUAAAUUAUCCCUAAGAUGAGCAUGCAAACCUCUGACAGUAGCUGCAUAAACCUAAACUCCAUUCAAAUCAGACCAUUCCUUUGGAGUUUAUUUGUAACUACUUUUUUGCCAUUGUUCUAGAAACAAAGAUUCAACUCAGGGUUUCUACACAUUUUGUACAUAAAAACUUAACACUUUUCCAGACUCAAAUUGCAAUUUCAUUUAUGUUUUGAUUGUUUUAAAAGGUUCACUCUGAAUAUGCUGUUGAGGUCAGGCUUUAUAUCUAGGAUCUUUAUAAAAAAAGACUAGAUGGAUUGAUGGCUGAACUGAUUAACUUUUGGAUGGAUGGACAGAUGAACAGACAGAUGAUGAUGAUAGAUGGUUGGACAAUGGAUGGAUGGAUGAAAAACAAAUGGAUAUACAUACAGACAGAGGAGUAUAGAUAGAUGGAUGGAUGGAAGGAUUAUUGAACGGAUUGAUCGACAAACAUAUGGAAAGAUGGACAGACAGAUGAUAAUAGAUGGUUGGAUGAAUGGAUGGAUGAAUAACAAAUGGAUAGAUAUACAGACAAGAAGAUUAUAGAAGGUUGGA